rnacentral:rRNA from 1 species
CCACGGCUAACUACGUGCCAGCAGCCGCGGUAAUACGUAGGUGGCAAGCGUUAUCCGGAAUUAUUGGGCGUAAAGCGCGCGUAGGCGGUUUUUUAAGUCUGAUGUGAAAGCCCACGGCUCAACCGUGGAGGGUCAUUGGAAACUGGGAAACUUGAGUGCAGAAGAGGAAAGUGGAAUUCCAUGUGUAGCGGUGAAAUGCGCAGAGAUAUGGAGGAACACCAGUGGCGAAGGCGACUUUCUGGUCUGUAACUGACGCUGAUGUGCGAAAGCGUGGGGAUCAAACAGGAUUAGAU